CUACGGGGGGCUGCAGUGAGGAAUAUUGCACAAAGGGGGGAACCCUGAUGCAGCAACGCCGCGUGGAGGAUGACGCAUUUCGGUGUAUAAACUCCUUUUAUAUGUCAAGAAAAUGACGGUAGCAUAUGAAUAAGCACCGGCUAACUCCGUGCCAGCAGCCGCGGUAAUAAGGAGGGUGCAAGCGUUACUCGGAAUCACUGGGCGUAAAGGACGCGUAGGCGGGUUGGAAAGUCAGGUGUGAAAUCCUACAGCUUAACUGUAGAACUGCACUUGAAACUUCUAAUCUAGAGUAUGGGAGGGGGAGAUGGAAUUAGUGGUGUAGGGGUAAAAUCCGUAGAUAUCACUAGGAAUACCUAAAGCGAAGGCGAUCUCCUGGAACAUUACUGACGCUAAGGCGUGAAAGCGUGGGGAGCAAACAGGAUUAGAUACCCCAGUAGUC
rnacentral:rRNA from 1 species